rnacentral:lncRNA from 1 species
AAAAUCUUCCGUAAGCGAUAAACCAAAACAUUGAUCUAAACAUGGUACCUCUUCUAACAUACCAAGACGACUAAAAUGUAUCUCCGCAUUCUGGAACCACCUCAGACUUUUCCAAGUUUCAAAUAUGGGAGAAAGGUUGUAAUGUAUGGUCUCAUCCAGCUUCUGCAAAUAUAAAUCACUUUGUUUGCUAAAGAAGGACAGAGAAGAAAAUAGAUCACUAAAAAUACUGGUGUACAACUAAGCAGAGUUCAGAAAAGUAAUGAGCGACUUCUAACAUAUCAAUGUAGAACCAUAUCAUAUGAUACAGUCCUGUAAUAGCAGCAUAACUUAUGCGCCUAGAAGUAGGUAAUUUAAUGUUUAUAUUGGUAUAGUGUACCCAAUAAUAAAAAAUUAUUUCAAGGCAACAUAAUUUUCCUAUAUUUAUUUUCAUGAUAUGAUACCAAGAUGAAUUAUAUGCCAACACAAUUAGGUUCAGUAACUUGAUCAUGAUGUAUGAACCGAGAAAAACAUGCCCCAAUUGAUUAAAUAGCCAAAGGAAGGAUACUUCAUUAAAUAGUCUCCAAGUUGAUCGCCUUGAGCAUGGAAACAGUGACAACCAUCUCUGGCUAACGGAUCCGCGAAAUGUGGUA